rnacentral:rRNA from 1 species
AUUGAACGCUGGCGGCAUGCCUAACACAUGCAAGUCGAACGGUAACAGGUCCCGUAGCAAUACGGGAUGCUGACGAGUGGCGGACGGGUGAGUAAUGCGUAGGAAUUUACCUCAAAGCGGGGGAUAGCCCGGAGAAAUCCGGAUUAAUACCGCAUGUGCUCCACGGAGGACAGCGGGCCUCUACUUGUAAGCUCGCACUUUGAGAUAAGCCUACGUCGGAUUAGCUAGUUGGUAGGGUAAAGGCCUACCAAGGCGACGAUCCGUAGCUGGUUUGAGAGGAUGAUCAGCCACACUGGGACUGAGACACGGCCCAGACUCCUACGGGAGGCAGCAGUGGGGAAUAUUGGACAAUGGGCGAAAGCCUGAUCCAGCAAUGCCGCGUGUGUGAAGAAGGCCUGCGGGUUGUAAAGCACUUUUAUCAGGAAAGAAAAUCUCGGGGCUAAUAUCCCCGGGCCUUGACGGUACCUGAUGAAUAAGCACCGGCUAACUCCGUGCCAGCCGCCGCCGUAA